rnacentral:rRNA from 1 species
UACGGAGGGAGCUAGCGUUGUUCGGAAUUACUGGGCGUAAAGCGCGCGUAGGCGGCUUUGUAAGUUAGAGGUGAAAGCCCGGAGCUCAACUCCGGAACUGCCUUUAAAACUGCAUCGCUUGAAUCCAGGAGAGGUGAGUGGAAUUCCGAGUGUAGAGGUGAAAUUCGUAGAUAUUCGGAAGAACACCAGUGGCGAAGGCGGCUCACUGGUCCGGUACUGACGCUGAGGUGCGAAAGCGCGGGGAGCGAACGGG